GCCCAACUAGGCCAAUCUGGCAGAGUCGCUAGUUUCAAACACUAGAAGUUCCGAGUUCGAAUCUCGGGUUGGGCACCA
rnacentral:tRNA from 1 species